GAUGAACGCUGGCGGCGUGCCUAAUACAUGCAAGUCGAGCGAACAGACGAGGAGCUUGCUCCUCUGACGUUAACGGCGGACGGGUGAGUAACACGUGGAUAACCUACCUAUAAGACUGGGAUAACUUCGGGAAACCGGAGCUAAUACCGGAUAAUAUAUUGAACCGCAUGGUUCAAUAGUGAAAGACGGUUUUGCUGUCACUUAUAGAUGGAUCCGCGCCGCAUUAGCUAGUUGGUAAGGUAACGGCUUACCAAGGCAACGAUGCGUAGCCGACCUGAGAGGGUGAUCGGCCACACUGGAACUGAGACACGGUCCAGACUCCUACGGGAGGCAGCAGUAGGGAAUCUUCCGCAAUGGGCGAAAGCCUGACGGAGCAACGCCGCGUGAGUGAUGAAGGUCUUCGGAUCGUAAAACUCUGUUAUUAGGGAAGAACAAAUGUGUAAGUAACUAUGCACGUCUUGACGGUACCUAGUCAGAAAGCCACGGCUAACUACGUG
rnacentral:rRNA from 1 species